AGUGAACGCUGGCGGUAGGCCUAACACAUGCAAGUCGAACGGCAGCACAGGAGAGCUUGCUCUCUGGGUGGCGAGUGGCGGACGGGUGAGGAAUACAUCGGAAUCUACUCUGUCGUGGGGGAUAACGUAGGGAAACUUACGCUAAUACCGCAUACGACCUACGGGUGAAAGCCGGGAACCUUUGGUCCUUGCGCGAUUGAAUGAGCCGAUGUCGGAUUAGCUAGUUGGCGGGGUAAAGGCCCACCAAGGCGACGAUCCGUAGCUGGUCUGAGAGGAUGAUCAGCCACACUGGACCUGAGACACGAUCCAGACUCCUACGGGAGGCAGCAGUGGGGAAUAUUGGACAAUGGGCGCAAGCCUGAUCCAGCCAUACCGCGUGGGUGAAGAAGGCCUUCGGGUUGUAAAGCCCUUUUGUUGGGAAAAAAAUCCAGCUGGCUAAUACCCGGUUGGGAUGACGGUACCCAAAGAAUAAGCACCGGCUAACUUCGUGCCAGCCGCCGCCGUAA
rnacentral:rRNA from 1 species